rnacentral:rRNA from 1 species
AGGAGUUUGAUCCUGGCUCAGGACGAACGCUGGCGGCGUGCUUAACACAUGCAACGUCAAGGGGGCCCAGCAAUGGGCAACCGGCGAACGGGUGCGUAACACGUGAGCAACCUACCGAAGUGUGGGGGAUAGCCGGUCUAACGGCCGAGUAAUACCGCAUACGAUUCCGAAGAGGCAUUUCUUUGGAAUGAAACCUACGGGGUACUUCGAGGGGCUCGCGGCCUAUCAGCUAGUUGGUGAGGUAACGGCUCACCAAGGCUACGACGGGUAGCUGGUCUGAGAGGAUGGCCAGCCACAUUGGGACUGAGAUACGGCCCAGACUCCUACGGGAGGCAGCAGUGGGGAAUAUUGCGCAAUGGCCUAACGGCUGACGCAGCGACGCCGCGUGAGGGAUGAAGCUCCUCGGAGUGUAAACCUCUGUUGCCCGGGACGAACAGCUCAUUUAUAUGAGCCUGACGGUACCGGGUGAGGAAGCACCGGCUAACUCCGUGCCAGCAGCCGCGGUAAUACGGGGGUGCGA